CGCUUUAGCUCAGAGGAUAGAGUACCCGACUCCUAUCUUGUGGUGUCAUCGGGAUGUCGUGGGUUCAAUCCCCACAAGCG
rnacentral:ncRNA from 16 species